rnacentral:rRNA from 1 species
GAUGAACGCUGGCGGCGUGCCUAAUACAUGCAAGUCGAGCGAACGGACGAGAAGCUUGCUUCUCUGAUGUUAGCGGCGGACGGGUGAGUAACACGUGGAUAACCUACCUAUAAGACUGGGAUAACUUCGGGAAACCGGAGCUAAUACCGGAUAAUAUUUUGAACCGCAUGGUUCAAAAGUGAAAGACGGUCUUGCUGUCACUUAUAGAUGGAUCCGCGCUGCAUUAGCUAGUUGGUAAGGUAACGGCUUACCAAGGCAACGAUGCAUAGCCGACCUGAGAGGGUGAUCGGCCACACUGGAACUGAGACACGGUCCAGACUCCUACGGGAGGCAGCAGUAGGGAAUCUUCCGCAAUGGGCGAAAGCCUGACGGAGCAACGCCGCGUGAGUGAUGAAGGUCUUCGGAUCGUAAAACUCUGUUAUUAGGGAAGAACAUAUGUGUAAGUAACUGUGCACAUCUUGACGGUACCUAAUCAGAAAGCCACGGCUAACUACGUGCCAGCAGCCGCGGUAAUACGUAGGUGGCAAGCGUUAUCCGGAAUUAUUGGGUGUAAAGCGCGCGUAGGCGGUUUUUUAGUCUGAUGUGAAAGCCCACGGCUCAACCGUGGAGGGUCAUUGGAAACUGGAAAACUUGAGUGCAGAAGAGGAAAGUGGAAUUCCAUGUGUAGCGGUGAAAUGCGCAGAGAUAUGGAGGAACACCAGUGGCGAAGGCGACUUUCUGGUCUGUAACUGACGCUGAUGUGCGAAAGCGUGGGGAUCAAACAGGAUUAGAUACCCUGGUAGUCCACGCCGUAAACGAUGAGUGCUAAGUGUUAGGGGGUUUCCGCCCCUUAGUGCUGCAGCUAACGCAUUAAGCACUCCGCCUGGGGAGUACGACCGCAAGGUUGAAACUCAAAGGAAUUGACGGGGACCCGCACAAGCGGUGGAGCAUGUGGUUUAAUUCGAAGCAACGCGAAGAACCUUACCAAAUCUUGACAUCCUUUGACAACUCUAGAGAUAGAGCCUUCCCCUUCGGGGGACAAAGUGACAGGUGGUGCAUGGUUGUCGUCAGCUCGUGUCGUGAGAUGUUGGGUUAAGUCCCGCAACGAGCGCAACCCUUAAGCUUAGUUGCCAUCAUUAAGUUGGGCACUCUAAGUUGACUGCCGGUGACAAACCGGAGGAAGGUGGGGAUGACGUCAAAUCAUCAUGCCCCUUAUGAUUUGGGCUACACACGUGCUACAAUGGACAAUACAAAGGGCAGCGAAACCGCGAGGUCAAGCAAAUCCCAUAAAGUUGUUCUCAGCUCGGAUUGUAGUCUGCAACUCGACUACAUGAAGCUGGAAUCGCUAGUAAUCGUAGAUCAGCAUGCUACGGUGAAUACGUUCCCGGGUCU